rfam:Lingula anatina scaffold217, whole genome shotgun sequence.
AUGCCUUAAACUAAUGAGUAAGGAAAAUAACGAGCCUGGUGAGAGCUAGGCUCCCUGGCUUAAGCUUCCAGGAAGAAUUUCUGAGGGGGUACAGGUCGCCCCUGGGUGACCCGCCUACUUUAGCGGGAUGCCCAGGUUUAGUUGUGAUCUGCCCU